AGAGUUUGAUCAUGGCUCAGAUUGAACGCUGGCGGCAGGCCUAACACAUGCAAGUCGAACGGUAACAGGAAGCAGCUUGCUGUUUUGCUGACGAGUGGCGGACGGGUGAGUAAUGUCUGGGAAACUGCCUGAUGGAGGGGGAUAACUACUGGAAACGGUAGCUAAUACCGCAUAACGUCGCAAGACCAAAGAGGGGGACCUUCGGGCCUCUUGCCAUCGGAUGUGCCCAGAUGGGAUUAGCUUGUUGGUGGGGUAACGGCUCACCAAGGCGACGAUCCCUAGCUGGUCUGAGAGGAUGACCAGCCACACUGGAACUGAGACACGGUCCAGACUCCUACGGGAGGCAGCAGUGGGGAAUAUUGCACAAUGGGCGCAAGCCUGAUGCAGCCAUGCCGCGUGUAUGAAGAAGGCCUUCGGGUUGUAAAGUACUUUCAGCGGGGAGGAAGGGAGUAAAGUUAAUACCUUUGCUCAUUGACGUUACCCGCAGAAGAAGCACCGGCUAACUCCGUGCCAGCAGCCGCGGUAAUACGGAGGGUGCAAGCGUUAAUCGGAAUUACUGGGCGUAAAGCGCACGCAGGCGGUUUGUUAAGUCAGAUGUGAAAUCCCCGGGCUCAACCUGGGAACUGCAUCUGAUACUGGCAAGCUUGAGUCUCGUAGAGGGGGGUAGAAUUCCAGGUGUAGCGGUGAAAUGCGUAGAGAUCUGGAGGAAUACCGGUGGCGAAGGCGGCCCCCUGGACGAAGACUGACGCUCAGGUGCGAAAGCGUGGGGAGCAAACAGGAUUAGAUACCCUGGUAGUCCACGCCGUAAACGAUGUCGACUUGGAGGUUGUGCCCUUGAGGCGUGGCUUCCGGAGCUAACGCGUUAAGUCGACCGCCUGGGGAGUACGGCCGCAAGGUUAAAACUCAAAUGAAUUGACGGGGGCCCGCACAAGCGGUGGAGCAUGUGGUUUAAUUCGAUGCAACGCGAAGAACCUUACCUGGUCUUGACAUCCACAGAACUUUCCAGAGAUGGAUUGGUGCCUUCGGGAACUGUGAGACAGGUGCUGCAUGGCUGUCGUCAGCUCGUGUUGUGAAAUGUUGGGUUAAGUCCCGCAACGAGCGCAACCCUUAUCCUUUGUUGCCAGCGGUCCGGCCGGGAACUCAAAGGAGACUGCCAGUGAUAAACUGGAGGAAGGUGGGGAUGACGUCAAGUCAUCAUGGCCCUUACGACCAGGGCUACACACGUGCUACAAUGGCGCAUACAAAGAGAAGCGACCUCGCGAGAGCAAGCGGAUCUCAUAAAGUGCGUCGUAGUCCGGAUUGGAGUCUGCAACUCGACUCCAUGAAGUCGGAAUCGCUAGUAAUCGUGGAUCAGAAUGCCACGGUGAAUACGUUCCCGGGCCUUGUACACACCGCCCGUCACACCAUGGGAGUGGGUUGCAAAAGAAGUAGGUAGCUUAACCUUCGGGAGGGCGCUUACCACUUUGUGAUUCAUGACUGGGGUGAAGUCGUAACAAGGUAACCGUAGGGGAACCUGCGGUUGGAUCACCU
rnacentral:rRNA from 2 species